AUUUUUUUAAAAUGUAUUGGGGCGUAAAGAACUUUCUUUU
rnacentral:tRNA from 1 species